rnacentral:rRNA from 1 species
AUGGCGUCGCCGGAGCCGCCCUUCCCCGAUGCCCCUCCGCCGCCGCCCUGCCCCGACGCCCCGGCGGCUCCGCCCUGCAUCCCCGGCACCUUGCCGGCCUUGGAGGCGCAGGCGACCCUCCCGGGCCACGUCACGGAGGAGAUCCUCCUCCGCCUCCCCACGGCCGCCGACCUCGCCCGCGCGUCCAUGGCCGGCCCCGCCCUCCGCCGCAUCAUCGCCAACCACACCUUCCUCCGUCGCUUCCGCACCCUCCACCCGCCGCCUCUCCUGGGUAUACUCUCGGAUCCCUUCUUCCCAGCCCAGCCGCCCCACCCCUCCGCCGCCGCCGCCGGAACACUCGCAGGCACCGACUUCUCCUGCUCAUUCCUCCCCUCCCGCGAGCAGCGGUGGCGUCGCUGCGACUUCCGCGACGGCCGCGCCCUCCUCUGCAUCGACACCGACGGCGGUGCCAUGGUGAGGGACGUCGCCGUCUGCGACCCGCUGCACCGGCGCUACCUGCUGCUACCUCCCGUCCCCCAGGGCCUGCCCGAUCUGGUCCAUCACUUGGAUCCUUUCCUUGCUCCUGCCGGCAGAGACACUGCUGCGGGCGCUCCCUUGAGAUUCAAAGUCAUGUGCUUGGCCCAGUACCACACCCGCUUGGUCCUCCACGUCUACUCUUCAUCAGGCCCCCAUGCCGGACAAUGGCGCACCGUCACAUUUGAUGGCUGGGCCGCUCUCCUCGCAGGAGUCAGUGUCCAUGUGCGAUCCUCUGUUGCGUUCGGAAAGCGCUACUACGCGCACGGGUGCUUCUGUUGGCCGAUAUGUGCGAUCAACAAGUUGCUCUUGCUCGACACAGCUACCACCGAGUUCUCCUCCGUCGAUCUCCCGCCUGAUCUCAUGAAUCACCAGGUGGCCUUUGUGGAAGCAACCGAAGGGCGGCUUGGGAUGUUCGCUCUCAGCCAAGUUCCCACACACCUCGUGCCUCGCCUCCGGUAUUCCAUUUUGGUUUGCACCGGGGAUGACCCAGGGCGGUGGGAAAAGAAAAAGGUGGUCACAUUGUCCCAUGAUUACUGCUAUCAGAUCAUUGGUGUAGCUGGGGGGUACCUGCUCCUAUAUCUGGUUACAGACAACCCAGAUUCGUUCCCUCCGGGUAAAGUGCCGGACCCGGGCUGCUUUUCACUGAAUCUUCGCACUAUGGAUCUUGAGUGCUUCUCUCGGAAUAGAGAUAUACUGCCAUUGCUGGGCCAACUGUAUUCGGGCUUCCCGCGAUACUUGUCUCCACCAACUAUUUGA